UACGUAGGGCGCAAGCGUUAUCCGGAAUUAUUGGGCGUAAAGAGCUCGUAGGCGGUGUGUCGCGUCGGCCGUGAAAACCUGCAGCUUAACUGUGGGCGUGCGGGCGAUACGGGCGGGCUAGAGUUCGGUAGGGGAGACUGGAAUUCCUGGUGUAGCGGUGGAAUGCGCAGAUAUCAGGAGGAACACCGAUGGCGAAGGCAGAUCUCUGGGCCGUGAACUGACGCUGAGGAGCGAAAGCGUGGGGAGCGAACAGG
rnacentral:rRNA from 1 species